rnacentral:misc_RNA from 1 species
UAUCCGUAGGUGAACCUGCGGAUGGAUCAUUCAUAAUAAAUGUAUCAUAGCUCUUGUGUAAACACUUAUCUACCUUGGUUGCAAUGUGGGGUGUGGUUUUGCUCUUCGGAGCAGCACACCCAAACAGCAAAUAUACCAUAACUGUUUGUUUUAUAAUUAUUAUGAAUAAUACAAUUCUAAAGACAACUUUCUAUAACGUAUCGCUUGGCUCUCGAAUCGAUGAAGUAAGAAGCAGACCGGAAUGGCAAACGGCUACACGCCAGUCACUACUUUCUUUUU